rnacentral:rRNA from 1 species
CCUACGGGAGGCUGCAGUGGGGAAUAUUGGACAAUGGGGGGAACCCUGAUCCAGCGACGCCGCGUGAGUGAAGAAGUAUUUCGGUAUGUAAAGCUCUAUCAGCAGGGAAGAAAGAAAUGACGGUACCUGAAUAAGAAGCCGCGGCUAACUACGUACCAGCAGCCGCGGUAAUACGUAGGGGGCAAGCGUUAUCCGGAUUUACUGGGGGUAAAGGGAGCGUAGACGGCGCUGCAAGUCUGAAGUGAAAGGCGGGGGCCCAACCCCCGGACUGCUUUGGAAACUGUAUGGCUGGAGUGCAGGAGAGGUAAGUGGAAUUCCUAGUGUAGCGGUGAAAUGCGUAGAUAUUAGGAGGAACACCAGUGGCGAAGGCGGCUUACUGGACUGUAACUGACGUUGAGGCUCGAAAGCGUGGGGAGCAAACAGGAUUAGAUACCCGAGUAGUC